rnacentral:tRNA from 1 species
GAGAACAUGUCUCAGUGGGUAAGAGCACUGACUGCUCUUCCAGAGGUCCUGAGUUCAAAUCCCAGCGACCACA